rnacentral:ncRNA from 2 species
GAGCGUGAACACGGGAGCCCGGCGCGCGGGCUGAGAGGGGACCAAGUCGCGGUCCCGACCGUCGAACCUGAUCCGGGUCAUGCCGGCGCAGGGAGUGGGGUGACGUCGAAC